UCAGAGGCCGCGGAGCCGGCGAGCAGUGCGGGCCCGUUCCGUACCUGGGACGCGCCCGGCGGCACCGGCUCCCGGAGGGCGCGAGUAGGCAGCGGGGGCCGCUGUCCUGUCGCCUGCUGCCGCAAUGUCCCCGGCCCUAGGGGCGAGCGCGUGGGCACCGGCCCCGCUGGAAAAGCCCCUGAGCGCUCUCGGCCCGGUCUUUCACCGUCGGACCCCAGGGUGAGCAGGCAGCCCUUCCGAAGAGCACGUUGCUCACGUUCUUCACAGGGGCCGCUUACUCCUGGGAAAUCCGCGACGUGACGCGAAGAGCAGGAUCGACUGAGAAGUGUUGAUGCCAGGCUAGGAUCCAUUAAUGGAAAAAACAGAAAAUUCCCAGACUGUGGAGCUAACAUCGCGGACUGUCCCCCACCACACGUUUAUGAGAGUGUGCAGAGUCCCUCAGCUAAAACGUCCACUGGGGACUUCAUCUCCCACGUGAGUCAACGCCCAGGAGCACAGGCCCAGGACCAUAUACACCCCGCUCCUGCCAUAGGGGCUGCCCAGGGCUAAGCCACAGGAGCCUCCAGGACACAACUGGUGCCUGCCCUGCCCCUCUGCCUGGCCAACCCUGCUCAGUCUCAGCUCCACAUCACCUCGCUGACCCAAAUCUGUGUCAGGCUACACUCCCAAAGAUUGUCUGAAAAUAAUUUUUUUCACAUGCCAA